UGACAGGUACUUAGAAGGUGGAUACACAGAUGGAACAAAUCAGGAAAUAGAACACCCUUGUGUUAUCAACAAGUUUCGAAGUGCAUUGACAUAGCUCUCCUUUGCCAAGCAAAAGACCCCUAUGGGCGACCUUUUAUAUGGGAAAUAAUUGGCGAUAUAAACGAAAUGGGAUGUAAGAAUGGGAAACUCAAGGAUGUUAGUGAAUCUACAAUUGACAAUUAAGCCCUUAUUUGGACGAUGGCAUGCUUGUGGUUGAGCCGCUCGAGCUGCGUUUUCCCUAUGACCUUAACAAGAAGAUAUCAUGCUCACUUGAACUGACAAACGAGACAAAUGCUUAUAAGGCAUUCAAUAUCGAGAUGAUGAGUCCCCUUCCAUACUGCACAGAACCAGGAAAAGGCGUCGUGUCACCACGAUCCAAGUGUAGUGUUAACGUAACAUUGAAACCACAUGACACGUCUCCAAGAGAUAUCCAACAUGCAUGCAAAUUUAUCAUGCGAAGCACCAAAGUGGAUGAGCUUCUUUGUUCUGAGGAUUUAACCAAAGACAUGUUCAUUAAAGAGGAUGGUAAUGUGGUUGAUGAGGUAAAUGUGGAUGUUGUUUUUGAUGCACUACUGCGGACUGAUAUGCCACCGUUAGGUGUACUACAUACUGGUCCAACACAUACAGUUCCUGAGGUACUCUCACUCUCCCAUGAGUCGGCUGAAACCCUAGUAACCAAGGUGGUGGAUUUGACAGUUUCUUCAGGCGCACCGUCUCUUAUACCGCAAGAAGAUAAUGGCAUGUACGAAAGUCUAGACAGCAGCUGUCUUUAGUACCAUCCAUGUCAUUUAUAGACACACUAAAGACAGUUUCCGUAGUGUGUCAUGUAAAAUUCCGAAAUGGAAUGAAACUUAAAACUCAAUUGAUUAAACAUUGUAUUAAUUAAAUUUAUGUGGUUUUCUUAGAUAGACCUUGCAACAUUACAUAUGAGUAGUGAUUUCC